rnacentral:rRNA from 1 species
UACGAAGGGGGCGAGCGUUAUUCGGAAUCACUGGGCGUAAAGCGUGCGUAGGCUGUCUAGCAAGUUGGAAGUGAAAGCCCAGGGCUCAACCUUGGAAUUGCUUUCAAAACUGCAAGACUAGAGUCCGGGAGAGGAUAGCGGAAUUUCCAGUGUAGUAGUGAAAUACGUAGAUAUUGGAAGGAACACCAGUGGCGCAAGCGGCUAUCUGGACCGGUACUGACGCUGAGGCACGAAAGCGUGGGGAUCAAACAGG